CCUACGGGAGGCUGCAGUGGGGAAUAUUGGACAAUGGGGGGAACCCUGAUCCAGCGACGCCGCGUGAGUGAAGAAGUAUUUCGGUAUGUAAAGCUCUAUCAGCAGGGAAGAAAGAAAUGACGGUACCUGACUAAGAAGCCCCGGCUAACUACGUGCCAGCAGCCGCGGUAAUACGGAGGGGGCAAGCGUUAUCCGGAUUUACUGGGUGUAAAGGGAGCGUAGACGGCGAUGCAAGUCUGAAGUGAAAGGCGGGGGCCCAACCUCCGGACUGCUGUGGAAACUGUCUGGCUGGAGUGCAGGAGAGGUAAGUGGAAUUCCUAGUGUAGCGGUGAAAUGCGUAGAUAUUAGGAGGAACACCAGUGGCGAAGGCGGCUUACCGGACUGUAACUGACGUUGAGGCUCGAAAGCGUGGGGAGCAAACAGGAUUAGAUACCCGGGUAGUC
rnacentral:rRNA from 1 species